rnacentral:rRNA from 1 species
UACGGGGGGGGCAAGCGUUGUUCGGAAUUACUGGGCGUAAAGGGCUCGUAGGCGGCCAACUAAGUCAGACGUGAAAUCCCUCGGCUUAACCGGGGAACUGCGUCUGAUACUGGAUGGCUUGAGUUUGGGAGAGGGAUGCGGAAUUCCAGGUGUAGCGGUGAAAUGCGUAGAUACCUGGAGGAACACCGUGGCGAAGGCGGCAUCCUGGACCAACACUGACGCUGAGGAGCGAAAGCCAGGGGAGCAAACGGG